GACGAACGCUGGCGGCGCGCUUAACACAUGCAAGUCGAGCGAAGCGGCGGACGGGUGAGUAACACGUGAGUAACCUGCCUUAGACAGUGGGAGAGCCUCGGGAAAUCGGGAUUAAUACCAAAUGGUCUAAGAUGGACACGCGUCCCAUUAGCAAGUUGGUCGGGAAAGGCUCACCAAGGCGACGAUGGGUAGCAGGGUUGGAAGGCUCGUCCGCCACAUUGGAGCUGAGAAACGUUCCAGACUCUCCGGGAGGCAGCAGUGGGUAAUAUUGCACAAUGGAGGGAACUCUGAUGGAGCGACGCCUGGUGAACGAAGAAGGCUUUAGAGUCGUAACGUUCUUUUAUCUUGGCUGCGGUACCAUACGAAAAAGCCCCGGCUAACUACGUGCCAGCAGCCGCGGUAAUUC
rnacentral:rRNA from 1 species